CAGUAGCCACGGUAAUACGGAGGGUGCAAGCGUUAAUCGGAAUUACUGGGCGUAAAGCGCACGCAGGCGGUUUGUUAAGUCAGAUGUGAAAUCCCCGAGCUUAACUUGGGAACUGCAUUUGAAACUGGCAAGCUAGAGUCUUGUAGAGGGGGGUAGAAUUCCAGGUGUAGCGGUGAAAUGCGUAGAGAUCUGGAGGAAUACCGGUGGCGAAGGCGGCCCCCUGGACAAAGACUGACGCUCAGGUGCGAAAGCGUGGGGAGCAAACAGGAUUAGAUACCCGCGUAGUCCCUGUCUCUUAUAC
rnacentral:rRNA from 1 species